rnacentral:rRNA from 1 species
UACAGAGGUCUCAAGCGUUGUUCGGAUUCAUUGGGCGUAAAGGGUGCGUAGGCGGCGCGGUAAGUCGGGUGUGAAAUCUCGGGGCUUAACUCCGAAACUGCAUUCGAUACUGCCGUGCUUGAGGACUGGAGAGGAGACUGGAAUUUACGGUGUAGCGGUGAAAAUGCGUAGAUAUCGUAAGGAAGACCAGUGGCGAAGGCGGGUCUCUGGACAGUUCCUGACGCUGAGGCACGAAGGCCAGGGGAGCAAACGGG